CUAAAAACUGUGACGAGAAAGAGUAACUUUUAAAAAAACUAAAGAGAGUCUGUGGUGGUGUGAGCAGAUGUUUUUUAAAAGCGAAGUGCCUCUCUGAGUUGUGAUAUUGAAAAAAAGUAGGUAUCAACCGGUAGCAACCGUUAACUUGUCCAAUACAAUCAGAUAAGUAAGAAAGAUUUAUUUAUAUCGAUAGAAGUGAAAUAGAAAAGUGGAAUAACGCUAACAGCGUCUUUUAU
rnacentral:ncRNA from 1 species